rnacentral:rRNA from 1 species
CCUACGGGAGGCAGCAGUGAGGAAUAUUGGACAAUGGGCGCAAGCCUGAUCCAGCCAUGCCGCGUGCAGGAAGACGCAUCUAUGGUGUGUAAACUGCUUUUGUACGGGAAGAAACACUCCCUCGUGAGGGAGCUUGACGGUACCGUAAGAAUAAGGAUCGGCUAACUCCGUGCCAGCAGCCGCGGUAAUACGGAGGAUCCAAGCGUUAUCCGGAAUCAUUGGGUUUAAAGGGUCCGUAGGCGGUUUAAUAAGUCAGUGGUGAAAGCCCAUCGCUCAACGAUGGAACGGCCAUUGAUACUGUUAGACUUGAAUUACUAGGAAGUAACUAGAAUAUGUAGUGUAGCGGUGAAAUGCUUAGAUAUUACAUGGAAUACCAAUUGCGAAGGCAGGUUACUACUAGUGGAUUGACGCUGAUGGACGAAAGCGUGGGGAGCGAACAGGAUUAGAUACCCUGGUAGUCCACGCCGUAAACGAUGGAUACUAGCUGUUGGGCGCAAGUUCAGUGGCUAAGCGAAAGUGAUAAGUAUCCCACCUGGGGAGUACGUUCGCAAGAAUGAAACUCAAAUGAAUUGACGGCUGAGACGAGACGAGACGACGACGAGGGAGGAGG